rnacentral:rRNA from 1 species
AUUGAACGCUGGCGGCAGGCCUAACACAUGCAAGUCGAGCGGAUGACGGGAGCUUGCUCCUUGAUUCAGCGGCGGACGGGUGAGUAAUGCCUAGGAAUCUGCCUGGUAGUGGGGGACAACGUUUCGAAAGGAACGCUAAUACCGCAUACGUCCUACGGGAGAAAGCAGGGGACCUUCGGGCCUUGCGCUAUCAGAUGAGCCAAGGGUGGAUUAGCUAGUUGGUGAGGUAAUGGCUCACCAAGGCGACGAUCCGUAACUGGUCUGAGAGGAUGAUCAGUCACACUGGAACUGAGACACGGUCCAGACUCCUACGGGAGGCAGCAGUGGGGAAUAUUGGACAAUGGGCGAAAGCCUGAUCCAGCCAUGCCGCGUGUGUGAAGAAGGUCUUCGGAUUGUAAAGCACUUUAAGUUGGGAGGAAGGGCAGUAAGUUAAUACCUUGCUGUUUUGACGUUACCGACAGAAUAAGCACCGGCUAACUCUGUGCCAGCAGCCGCCGCGGUAA